ACGAACGCUGGCGGCGUGCCUAAUACAUGCAAGUCGAGCGGAAUGAUGAAGAAGCUUGCUUCUUCUGAUUUUAGCGGCGGACGGGUGAGUAACACGUGGGCAACCUACCUUGUAGAUUGGGAUAACUCCGGGAAACCGGGGCUAAUACCGAAUAAUCCAUUUUGCUUCAUGGCGAGAUGUUGAAAGACGGUUUCGGCUGUCACUACAAGAUGGGCCCGCGGCGCAUUAGCUAGUUGGUAGGGUAAUGGCCUACCAAGGCGACGAUGCGUAGCCGACCUGAGAGGGUGAUCGGCCACACUGGGACUGAGACACGGCCCAGACUCCUACGGGAGGCAGCAGUAGGGAAUCUUCCACAAUGGACGAAAGUCUGAUGGAGCAACGCCGCGAGAGUGAAGAAGGUUUUCGGAUCGUAAAACUCUGUUGUAAGGGAAGAACACGUACGAGAGUAACUGCUCGUACCUUGACGGUACCUUAUUAGAAAGCCACGGCUAACUACGUG
rnacentral:rRNA from 1 species